rfam:Tatumella ptyseos ATCC 33301 GTPT.assembly.041, whole genome shotgun sequence.
CGUAUGAUGCUGCCGCCAGCUAACCACACGAUAAUACCGGGCGGCGGCCUGUGCCUGCACAGUCAUGAAAAACAUCACGGUAUCA